UUUAUAUGAUUUCGUUUGCAGCGAUGUUGUUAUGAUCUGCUUUUCCUUACAUUUAAGCAAUAUGUCUUUUUCCAGAGAAUCUGUUCUACUGCAAUAUUUGCAAGAAGGAUAAGCACGCGUAUCCUGUUGAAUGCUGUAAUCUAACAACAGGGGAAUACCUAUGUGCGAAUUGCUAUGAAAGUGACAAACAUUACAGCAAAACAAAGCAAUAUGCAGCGGGACAAAACAAGGAUGUCAGACAAAUAACUUUAAACUUAAAAAAUGGGGCACGGCCAUGUCAGAUUCAUAUGUUUCCAUUCCAUGAGCAGGAGAAGGAAACACCCGGAGAUGUCUACUGCCUUGUUUGCAAAUUGUAUCUCUGUAAGCACUGUUUUGAAUUACACCGACGACUUAAAGAUGUGUGGCAACAGCAACAAAAGCACGGUCCGCAGGAACCGUUCCAAGUAGAUUCAUCUACUGAUUAUAUCUACAACGACGAUAUAGUAACCGUUGCAAAUCAUCCUGAUAGGUCAAGCUGGUAUCAAGUAUCUACAACAGACAUUGGCUUGAUAGUUUGGUGGCACUUUCCCCUGGCUGGAAUAAUUAUUGCAGCAAUACAUUGGUUCUGUAAAUUAAAGCGAUAUGAAAGAAAAGUGAAUCCUGCAAUAUAGAACUAAUACAGAGAAUUUGGCACUGAAGUGGUCUUUACUACAAAUGAACAAUAACUGAGCUGCGGACAUAACUGGAACUGCCUGAUGUGGAUUUACAUCGGACUCGACAAGUUUCCCAAAUAGACAUUUACAAUUAUUGACAUUAUAUCUACGUAAUUAUAUUAAAGAGAGACUUAUGCAUUUAGUACUUGCUCAUGUGAUAAAAUUAUAUCAUGCCCUUCUUCAUUACAUUCAGGUUAUUUAACUUACAAUGCUCUUAUAUUUAAUAUAUUUUUUGAAGUUUGAUAUGUAUGGGUUUAGUUAUAGAGUUAUUUUUGAAAGAGUGCGUUUUUUCAUCAUUGUUAAGUAGGCUUUAUAUAUUAUACAUUCAUUACUGAAUUGUACAACAUUUUGUCACUACAUGUAACAUAAUGACUUUGGACGAAAGAAUGAUAUAACAACUGUUGCAGUACAAAUUAUCAGUGCAUAUCAGCAUAUAGGCAAUGACAUUUUAAAAACUACGAACAUGUAAUUAAACGUAAGUUAGGAGAAUAUCCUUUAGAUACUCAGGGCGAGAGGGCUUGGCGGUUUUGGUUCAGUCUACAUUAUUCAUUUGCUAAAGACCUAGAGUUGGAAAAUAUAUUUACUUUGAAUCUUAGACUGGGUUCUUCAAUUUUAAGGACAAAAUCUUAUAUUCUUCAAUGAGGAAGGCAACCAGAGUUUACAAUGUUACACUGUCUGUCACAGUCUGUCACCAUCGGUAAACAGUAUUCUUUUACAAAAAUAUGUAUUGUUUUAUUCAAGAGGUCACAUUUUGAGUUGAUUUUCUCUUGAUAAAAUCUAAGUCAGUGUGGGAGUUAUACGGAAUAAAAAAUCUAGAUCACUGUAUCAGAUCAAAGUCAAAUCUUGUUAACACUUAAGCAUAUACUUUUAUGUGAUCUAGAAAAAACUUGGUCAGGAUGUUUGGCUUGAGGAAAUCAAGGUCAAGUUUUAUCAGGUUAGCAAUACAAGGGACGACCCUAGCCGGUGUACAUGUGAGCGGCAAGAAAAUUUAAUCUCGCUGGUUUUUAGCUGACUAUUCGAAGAAAAAGUAGAGCUAUCCUACUCACCACAGUGUCGGCGUCACACAUUUGUUAAGUUUUUCGUACCAGUCCACUUUUUGACAAAACUUUUUGAGAUAAAGCUUUAGAACUUUCAACACUUGUGUACCAUUACCUUGGCCAGUUUUAGGCAAGAGUAAAUAACUCUAUCAAGGGUUUUGGCUGAAUUAUGGCCCCUUUUAACUUACAAAUCUUGGUUAAGUUUUUCGUACCAGUUCAUAUUUUGUGUAAACUGUUUGACAUAUGGCUUUGAAACUUGUAUCACUUGUUUAUUAUAACAGUCUCUAUAUAUAGGCAAAAGUACAUAACACUGUCAAAUAUUUUGGCUGAAUUAUGGUCCUUUUUGAACUUGGAAGUUGGUUCAAUUUUCGUACAAGACCACGUUUUGUCAAAACUAUUUGACAUGAGUCUUGGACACUUUGAAAACUUUUUUAUCCUGUAGGCAAGAGUGCAUAACUCUGUCAACUAUUUUGGCUGAAUUAUGGCCCUUUUUGGCUUUGGAAAUCAGUUAAAUUUUAUGGCAAGACUACAAAACUAGGACAAGGACGGAAUUUAGCUCAGUUAUGGCCCUUUUUGACAUAGAAAAUGGUUAAGCAUAAACAUACCAUUCCAUAUUUUGUCUAACUAUUUGAUAUAUGACUUUGAAACUUUGAACACUUGCUUACCAUCAUGGUCCCACAUUGUCAUAUAGUGCAAGACUUAUCCAAAUCCGCAAAUACAGGUACAUUGUUUGUGUUAUCUAUUUUUCUUCUUUUGCCUGAACAUCUCUGGUAAUAUUAUGACCCCAGACUUCCAUCACUUCUUCUAAUAGUCGAGCGCGCUAUCAACAGACAGCUCUUGUCUAAUUCAUGAACGCUCAGGUGUAAUAAAGUAUUUCGACCCCCAUAGAAUAACGACCCCUCGGUCAUUAUUCCAUAGAAAAUGUGACUCCUUUCCUGUAAAAUAUUGACUUCCCUUAUAAAAAACUGACUCCCUUUGAAAACUCUAUAGAAUAACGACCCCCCGGUCAUUAUUCUAUAGAAAAACUGACCCCUCCAAGUAAAAUACUGACUCCCUAAAGAUGACUCCCUUCGAAUCUCAUAGAAUAACGACCCCGGUUAUUUUUCUAUAGAAAAAGUGACUCCUUCCAUGUAAAAUACUCACUGCCGAAAUUACUACAUUCGAACUCUCAUACAAUAUCGAUUCCCGGACAUUAUUCUAUUCAAAAAAGUUACUCUUUGCGUGUAAAACACCGGCUCCUAAAAAGACUUUCGACGAUAAUAUCUAUUAAAAAGUGAUCCCCACAAACCUAACGGACAAUUUUACUAGAUCUACAACUCUAAUACCCUCCAUUGCCAAUAGUUAACAUUUUGAUUGUACUACUACUACUGGUGCCGCUACUUCUAUUGCUAUUACUACAUGUACUUCUUCUUCUUCUUCUACUACUACUACUACUACUUCUACUACUACUACUACUACAACUGCUACUACUGAUACUACUAUAUCUGCUUCCACUAAUACGUCUUGUACAUCUACCUCUUCUUCUCCUGCUGCUGUUGUUGCUGUCACUUAUUCCUCUACUGCUGCUGCUGCUGCUGCUACUGCAACUGCCACUACCACUGCCACUGCCACUACUACUACUACUACUACUAUUACUACUACUACUUUCUAUUGUUGCCGCUACCGUACUUUACUGCCACUGCUAAGUAUUGCAACUUCUAUUAAUACUAAGUUCUAUGCUAGCAGUUUCCUGUGCAGUUUUCUUCUGAAGAAUUACUUCGUAUCGAAGUUUGCAGGGAUUAUUGACACUGGUGUGUUUUGUGAACGUAUUGUGAAUUGUUAUUUUCCUGAAAAAAAUGUAUACACCAAGAUACAGCGUCUAGAAAUAGAAUCCCUUUUCCCGUUGCGGAAUGCUCUGAUUUCUG